rnacentral:snRNA from 1 species
ACUAGUACAACUAGAUAACGGA